CAGCCGCCGCGGUAAUACGGAGGGUGCAAGCGUUAAUCGGAAUUACUGGGCGUAAAGCGCACGCAGGCGGUCUGACAAGUCAGAUGUGAAAUCCCCGGGCUUAACCUGGGAACUGCAUUUGAAACUGUCAGGCUGGAGUCUUGUAGAGGGGGGUAGAAUUCCAGGUGUAGCGGUGAAAUGCGUAGAGAUCUGGAGGAAUACCGGUGGCGAAGGCGGCCCCCUGGACAAAGACUGACGCUCAGGUGCGAAAGCGUGGGGAGCAAACAGGAUUAGAUACCCCAGUAGUCCCUGUCUCUUAUAA
rnacentral:rRNA from 1 species